CAUGAAACACGGAGCAAUCUGUGGCUUAUAGAUGGGCCUGCGGCGCAUUAGCUAGUUGGUAGGGUAACGGCCUACCAAGGCGACGAUGCGUAGCCGACCUGAGAGGGUGAACGGCCACACUGGGACUGAGACACGGCCCAGACUCCUACGGGAGGCAGCAGUAGGGAAUCUUCCGCAAUGGACGCAAGUCUGACGGAGCAACGCCGCGUGAGUGAUGAAGGUUUUCGGAUCGUAAAGCUCUGUUGCCCUAGACGAACAGCAAGGCGAGUAACUGCGCUUUGUGUGACGGUAUAGGAGAAGAAAGCCCCGGCUAACUACGUGCCAGCAGCCGCGGUAAUACGUAGGGGGCAAGCGUUGUCCGGAAUUAUUGGGCGUAAAGCGCGCGCAGGCGGUUAAUUAAGUUGGGUGUUUAAGCCCGGGGCUCAACCCCGGUUCGCAUCCAAAACUGGUUGACUUGAGUGUAGGAGAGGAAAGUGGAAUUCCACGUGUAGCGGUGAAAUGCGUAGAGAUGUGGAGGAACACCCAGUGGCGAAGGCGACUUUCUGGCCUAUAACUGACGCUGAGGCGCGAAAGCGUGGGGAGCAAACAG
rnacentral:rRNA from 1 species